rnacentral:lncRNA from 1 species
ACAACCCAUCCUUUUUUCUUUUCGUUACAAUCUAUUUUUUUCCUUCUUUAAUUUUCUUCUUUAUUUUGUUUGCUCCCCCCUUCUUGAUUCUUUGCAGUCACUCUUGUUGUUUCUAGUAACUAACUUAGACAUAUUGGAUACUGAAAAACAGGAAAAUUACUAACUAGUUAGUUAAUUACUUUCAUCAUACAACAACCACAGACAGUUUCCAGAGGCAGAGUUCAAC